CCAACUUCACCUUCGGUGAAGCUAGCUGAAGUUGCUGCUAUAUAUUAAGGAUUAGGCUACUGACUUUACUCUCAAAUCAAGGCAGCUACGUGACUGCAAUGAUCGCCAACGAUAACAAGGAAAAUGAAGAUAAUAAAUACAUGUGAAAUAUUAAUCUUACCUCAAGCAUUGUAACCGUAUCACCAUAGCUUUUGCUUACGUCGGAUGUACUGAUACCCAGCAACGCUUCAAAGCGGAAAUUGUGUGACGUUACUGUGAAAAUGGCUAAUUUUUAGGGCUGGGUUCAAAAAAGAUUCACGAUUCAAUAUCGAUUCCCGUUCAAAAAAUAUGAUAUCGAUUCAAAAUUUGCGGAUCGAUCUUUUCCAGUCAGCUAGGCACUAAUGUUUAGGCACUACUUUGCGCGACUGCACAAGGAGUAGGGUUGCAAAAUUCCGGGAAUUUUCAAAGUUGGAAACUUUCCAUGGGAAUUAACGGGAAUAUACGGGAAUUAAUGGGAAUAAAUGGGAAUUAAUGGGAAUAAACUGGAAAUGUUGUAUUUGGCAAGUUAGUAUAUAACGGAGACCUUAAUGUAGUUGGAAAAAAACCCAUCUUUCAGCAUAAUGUUAGUUAAAACAACCUGAUUUAAUGCAAAUUCAGUUGAAUUUCUACCCUGCACACACGUCAAUUACAUGCACACAACAAUCAACAUAGGCUACUAGACAUAUAAGAAACCUAAUUUUCCCAGUGAAAACGUCAUUCCAAACGUUAUCUCAUGUGGGAAUAACUGGUGGGAAACUGGGGGAAGUUUGCGAACCGAGUCGCCCAGUUCUUGGCGUGUCAUCACUGUUGUCCUCAUGCAAAUGGGAGAACGCAAUUUUGCAUAAGCUCUAAUGGGAUGGUUAAUAAUCAUAUGGUCAUAUUACUGGUCUGAUUUAGCUUGGCACUUUUAAAAUAAUCAUAGUUAUUCUGUGAGGUUUGGGGUCAUGCAUGUAUGUAAUGUCGGUAUUUUUGGCCAACUGAGGAUUAAAAUAAAUUCAUUAAACAUUUUUGUAACAAGUUGAGUUCAGUCAGUGUUCACGGCAGUCUUGGCUGGUUAAUGUAAGCUGCUAGUAAAAAACGAAAUUCCCGUUAAUUCCCUAAUUUCCUGCAAUUCCAUCAAAGUUUCCACUAUUGAAUAUUUCCAAAAUUCCCCAUCUUAACUUCCCAUGGGAAAUUUCCAGAAAGUUUCCGGAAAUUUACCGGAACCCUAGCAAGGAGACCUAUAAAAACGUGAGACCGGCAAAAUCGAAACCUAAGGCAGAGCGAACCAAGCAUGGCUGAAGCUGCCACGUUAAAAUCACCAAUCUUGCAUAGUUUCUCUUUAAAACGCGGCUGAGGCAGUCAAAAGACUGCUGAGUCCUCAGACUGGGAUGCUGUUACUUACAUGAAAACAUGUAUCCUUGAACUAUGCGUGACUAUUUUCCUAAAACUGAAUGAAACCCUUAAAGUGACAGUCUCUCAAUUAGAUCUAUAUACCACCCCUGUUAUAAGUAUUCAAAUUACUGAAUAUUUUAAGCUAUAAGUAUUUAUGCAGAUCCUAAAAUGCUAUAAAUUGUUAACAAAAUGUAUACAAAUUAUGAAUUCAAAAUAUGAAAUGGAAACAAGACAAGUCAUUUUCUGUGUGUGUGGAGGGUUGAGCAGAGACUAGGAUUGCCACUGCUGUGAAUGAUCUGUAUCCCACUUAAGGUUUUGCCUAUAUUUUUGUAAAGUAAUAAACACGGCCACAAAAACUAUUUCAGCUUGGCCUAUCAGUGCCUUCUUGCCAUAUUGAACAGAUAUUUUUAAAAAUACUGUGAUGGUGAUAAUUUUGGUCACUAUAACCGUGGGGUUAUAUUUUCAUACCGUUACAUCCCUAGUGACUAGAAUAUGCCACAGCAUAUUGUUUAGACAGGAGAUGAAUAUUUAAGGCAUAGGUAUAAGCUUUUCUGAUCAACUUGGGGCCUGAAUUUGUGUGCGGGAUUGCGGGUAUCCCGCAUAUUUUUUUCAUUUCCCGCACCUUAAUGAUUCUAAUUUGGGAGAUUCCCGCACACUUAGUGCCCAUAAUAACCUCUCCAGACGGGCCCCGCAGCUCGUGAAUAUCAUUGAAAUGAAUGGCCAAAGGGAGGAAGAUCCUCCGCGGAAGUGCCUCUGUCAAUGCAUGUCAGUGCCAUUGCACUUCCACGCUUUAGCCAGCGGUCCAUGUUUACAUGGUUGUAAUGUUACUGCGUUUUUAGAGAGUGGAUGUGCGCCCGCGUGUGUGAACUGCCUGUGCGUCUGCUGUUUUUUUGUCAGUUUUUUUUUUUGUAGACUACGGGGGGGAGGUGGGUCAAUCAGUAACGGUUCAAUUCAAGUAACAUUGAGAACAGAAGGUAGCAUUCACACUGAUCCAUUAUUAGAUUGACGUUGUCAAGGCACUUAUGUGUGCGGGAAUCUCUCUCAUUAGAAUCAUUAAGGUGUGUGAAAUAAAAAGAAUAUGCGGGAUACCCACAAUAUACAAUAUGACCUUGUUCGCAAAUGAAUAGAUAUGCAUCUGUUACCCUGUAAACUUAAAAUGUCGCGCUGUAGAGUGAAAUUAAUGAGAGCUACAACACAUAGGCUAGUAACUUUACAGCUAGCCUUAGGUCUGGACUUCAUAAAACUCAUACUAGCUAGCUUGCUAACUAACGUUACACACUUCAGAAACUGAUUACCAUUGUAAACAAAAGCUUAGCAAUGUGUCACCACUGUUUUAGUUCUGUUAGCUGUUUUUUCUGGUUUACUUUUCAGAAACUCUUUGUGGAGUUCAGAAUGAUGGCUCUUAAGAUCUGUAAUUAAGUUGGUACUUUUUAGUGUCAUGUUAGCCCUCAUCGCAUCACUUGUGCAAAUAGCCAUUAUGUUAUCAGUUUCUGUAAUUGACCUUUCGCCAGUGUUUGAUUGACAGACAAUCUGACCAAUCAGAACGCUUCUAAUACCGAGCUCAUGGAUGUCCGCCGUUCUGUCCGACAUCACAGCAACAACACAGCUGUUAACCUUUCAUUUAUUGUCUCAGCUGAUUCGGUUUCCCCCCUUCAAAAUGGUUAAACGGUGUUGUUAUGGCAACACUGACUGCAGAUACAAGGACUGGGUUGAAAACGUCGAUUUAGUCCCUUUCCCGAAAAAAAAUAGAAAAAUGGUUACGUUGGAUAAAGUUAUGCGGACAACCACAUCAACAGCUGAACGUCAGCACAUUAAGAAAUCACGGCACAGCUACCAGAAACAUUUCUACGUUUGCUCAAAGCACUUUGUUGAAGGCAAAGCGACCCAAGACCACCCUGAUCCUCUGCAGCAUCGCCUUAUGAUCGCCCAUCAUCUGUAAGGCGCCCACCACAGCUGCGAAGAGAGCCACAGCCCCUCAGGAAGAGUGCCACUAGGCUAGGUCUACUGAAACCAUAAGGGUCAUCAUGGUGCAUCAGGAGCCUACUCCACACACCCAGGACACUACUCCAUACGCCCUGGACCCUACUCCACACACCCAGGACACUGCUCCACACACCCAGGACCCUACUCCACACGCCCUGGACACUACUCCACACACCCAGGACCCUACUCCACACGCCCUGGACCCUACUCCACACACCCAGGACCCUGCUCCACACACCCAGGACCCUACUCCACACACCCAGGACACUACUCCACACACCCAGGACCCUACUCCACACGCCCUGGACCCUACUCCACACACCCAGGACACCAUGAACUGUGCUAUUUACAGUUUUUUGCCCGUUGCAUGAACACAUUUUGCAAAACUUUGCUUACUGUGCCAAAACUCUACACACAAUAACAUAACGGCACACUAGAAAAUAUACCUUUCACAUCUAUGUAAAAUUGAAACUCUACUAUCAGUAUGUAAAUUCCAAACCUAACAAUCCUUAUAUAUAACUCUGGUGACAAAAUGAAACACACUUGCAUCAUAUGCAUACACUUUCAGAUCAGGAGGAACACACUAGUCUACUUUAUAUAAAACAUUUGCUUGAAUACAUUUAGCAAAACUUCGCUCAUUGUGCCACAACUCUACACACAAGUAAACAUCACACAACACUGGGAAAUAUACUAUUCACAUCAGCAUUCACAAUGGCUAAACUGAGGGCUUUUUUUAGCUGGCUGAUUGGUGUUCAGUUUUGCAAGAAAGUGCCUUCAAGUGUGUAUUUGAGAGGUUGCAAUUACCCGAUGUGUUUUGUAUUUUGGAUACAUGUGUUUAACAAAUGGUACUCUGAGAUUUAAUUUUUGAACAAACUGUCUUAUGUAUGACAUAGAGAGUAGUAUGCAGGACCAAGUGUGUCGCAUAAAGGAGUAAGUGUGUUGCAGAAUUGCAACUAGACUGCAAAGCAGCACUUUUGUUUUAAGGUAUAGGUGCAUGUGUUUGAGAUUAUGGCAACAACACUUCAAGUUGUGUUACUUUAGUUUAAGCAUGGGUCUUUAAUUUACAGUUUUUGCCCAUUGCUUGAGCACUAAUCAUUUUGUACAUAUAUUGACUUAAGAAACACAAAACACCUUUAUAUUUAUUUAUGUAUAUUGUUGGUCAUGCCUGUGUGUUUUUAAAUGGCCCUUGGUCUGACAUUAAAAAUGAUACUCUUCAACAA